rnacentral:tRNA from 2 species
GCUCUCGUCGUCCAACGGAUAGGACGCCAGAUUGCGGAUCUGGCAAUACAGGUUCGAUUCCUGUCGAGAGCACCA